UGCAUGUAUCUCACUGGCCAACACCAUGACAAGCAGCUGCCCCUACAUACUGGUGUGGAGCUGUGACAUGGUGUGGAUAAGAGAUUGCCUCUCCAAGGCCCUGCUAACAUGACCCCUGACCUGUGACUGGUCUUCAAUUCAGCGGUGAGGAUACAAGGAAAAGAUGGCCUUCUGCAAAGCAGGAAGAUAGCCUUCUCCAGACCCUGGAUCUGCCAACAUCAUGACCCUGGACUUCCAGCUUCUAUAACUGAUGAAAAGGCAGCGAUUGACCCUAAAUUCAAGACAUUUUUUGCACCCCUAUGAUCAUGACCCAAAGACUCAGGCAGAAAUUCUGACAACAGCAGAUUCUUGUCUGCAAGAAGCAAUGAGAGGUCUCUGCUGUCGGCUACUCUUAUAUUCAAUUGCAUGGACCAGGACCAAGGAGGUAUGCGCUGAGAUAGGGGGUUCAUGAGGAAGUCUGUGUAGGUUUCCAGAUACCUUCUUGUGCUAAGUAACCAUCUCGAUGACCUUGGGCAAAUCCUGAAGUCCUGGUGACAUUUCUGAACAUCAGUGUUCUCAUCUGUGAAAUAAAAAUAAGGAUUGAAUGUGAUAAUCUAAACAUCAUUAGGAUGGGGAUUUUUCCUUGCUUUUACUGAUUCCCACUGCUCAGAAAAAUAGGCAUUCCAUAAACACUCACUGAAUGAUUUGAUGAUCCAUAAGAUGUGUAAGGUUGUCCAGUGUAAAAUACAUAUUUAAUAGUUAUUUUAGCAAUUAGUAUCGUGACUGCCUCUUCCCACCUCUCAUGCUCAAGUAUCUCACCAUGUGCCUACAUAUUUUGUAGAUGACCAUAAAAGAAACACAAUUGGUCUGCUUCCUUAUACUUAGAAGA